rnacentral:rRNA from 1 species
UACGGAGGGUGCGAGCGUUGUCCGGAAUUACUGGGCGUAAAGCGUGCGCAGGCGGUGAUGUAAGACCGAUGUGAAAUCCCCGGGCUUAACCUGGGAACUGCAUUGGUGACUGCAUUGCUGGAGUAUGGCAGAGGGGGGUGGAAUUCCACGUGUAGCAGUGAAAUGCGUAGAGAUCCGGAGGAACACCAGUGGCGAAGGCGACACGCUGGGCCGUACCUGACACUGAUGCGCGACAGCAUGGGGAGCAAACAGG